rnacentral:rRNA from 1 species
UAGUCUUGGAUACCUCUCGAGGCAACUCGGAUUUUAGGGUCGCUGUGCUGUACAAGUCGGCUUUCCUUUCAUUUCCAAGACUAUGUUUUUAUAUACACCAAAGUAUGUUUAAAGAAUGUCAUCAAUAGGAACUUGUUUCCUAUAUAAUUAUACAACUUUCAGCAACGGAUCUCUUGGCUCUCGCAUCGAUGAAGAACGCAGCGAAAUGCGAUAAGUAAUGUGAAUUGCAGAAUUCAGUGAAUCAUCGAAUCUUUGAACGCACCUUGCGCUCCUUGGUAUUCCGAGGAGCAUGCCUGUUUGAGUGUCAUUAAAUUCUCAACCUUCCAGCUUUUUAUAAGCUUGGUUAGGCUUGGAUGUGGGGGUUGUGGGCUUCAUUAAUGAGGUCAGCUCUCCUUAAAUGCAUUAGCGGAACUUUUGUGGACCGUCUAUUGGUGUGAUAAUUAUCUACGCCGUGGAUGUGAAGCAGAUUUAUGAAGUUCAGCUUCUAACCGUCCAUUGACUUGGACAUUUUUGACAAUUUGACCUCAAAUCAGGUAGGACUACCCGCUGAACUUAAGCAUAUCAAUAAGCGGAGGAAAAGAAACUAACAAGGAUUCCCCUAGUAACUGCGAGUGAAGCGGGAAAAGCUCAAAUUUAAAAUUCUGGCAGUCUUUGGC